rnacentral:snoRNA from 1 species
UUGCCCGUGAUGAAGCCUGUGUUGGUAGGGACAUCUGAAAGUGCUGAUGAAUGCCAAUGACUCUGAUGCUGGUGU